AUGGGUCGAACUAGUAUUUCCUUCAUUGUUCAUACUGGUUGUACAACUGGUGGAAGCUCUAGGAAAUCUGGUGGGGAAAGGAUUUGUUCAUCGAUUUAUCUUUUAGACAGGGAUUCUCUGAAAUUUAUCGAUUUGGAGGAGUCAUUGCUUAUACAUGGAUAUCAAAAAGGAGAUGGUGUAUACUACUUGAAGCCUUCUUAUGUCCCUCCACAAGGUCUUGUACAGAUUCUAAAUGAUGAACAAAUCAAGAUGAUGUUGGAUGAUCAUAAGACGGAAACAGAGUGCUCACUGUACUUUUUUGCAAGGCCUCGGGAAUUGGUGACUGAUAAUGGAAGCACAUCAAGGUUUGUAAGCCCAAGUAGUAUCCCAUUAAUUGGACAUCAUAAUAGUGUCCCAGAUGAGCCCAAUGAUGACACAAUAGAUUUCAAUGACGAAGCACCUAUCUAUGUGCACAGAUCAAGAGGAAUUGAAGAUAUAAUUUUUGAUGAGUCCACCCUACGGCGUCCACACAUGCAAGUUGGCAUGUUGUUCAGUAAUGUUGAUCUUUUUAGAGCUGCUUUGAAGAAUAUGAUCAUCAACAUGGGGAGGGAGGUGUUCAAGGGCAAGAAUGAUAGGAAUCAAGUUUCUGUCAAGUGUAAGGCAGAUAACUGUCCUUGGUACAUAUAUGCUUCAAAAUUGCCUGGUGAAGACACCUUUAAAAUAAAG
rnacentral:lncRNA from 1 species